CAACAUGUCCUUUGAGUGGUCCCUAAAAUAAUACCAUUAGCGGGUCGCAUUAAGGCUGCUUAUCUCUGGCGGAGCCUGCUGAUAAUGCCGAGCGAGCAGGUCCUCCUGGAAUGCUGGGGCCCGGAUAGAGAAGUGCCUGAGAGCCCCUGAUGAACGGGCAGGCCUUGGCAUCCGUUGUCCCGAUGACGAUGACAUUCCAUCGGGUUUGACACCUGCUCCCGCAGCACUAAGUUGGCAGAGUCAGAGUGGGCGCACCUGGUAUGUGACAGACACUUUGAACCAUUUUGCAGUCUGCCUGCAUGGCUGGGGCUGUGAGGUCGAGGGACAUCCAGGGGCUGCCUCAUGGUGCAGUCGUGGUCCAGCUGUGCUGGUCAGGGGUGCUUUGCUUCAGCAUCGCCAUCGCGCCCACCCGCAGCGUCUCCUGGCCGUGGCUGGCGUUCAUUCGGUUUUUCCCAGCCGUGAUUAGGAAAUAAGGAAGGGCGUACGGGAAGAGGAGAGGCACCGCCCAGAAAGCGGCUCUUCUUGCUGGACACUGUGAACAUUUGCCAGACUUACCCGUGGGUGUCUCUCCCAUGUCAACAAAGCUUAUCCUUCGUCUCUGUAACCUAUUCCCCUGACGCACUGUAUCACAGAGUCCCCACGUCAUAGAGCAGGCUAGCUUCAAACAUAACAGCCUCCUGCCUCAGCCUCCCAGGCACUGCGAUCGACUUCUGAGUGAACACGUAUAAGCCUCCAAUAUUUCCAUCCCCUGUUUCGGUUCUGAUGCGUGAAAAUUAUUUUUGAACCUCAUAAAAGAGAUGGGAUGACACAAUAAGUUAAUAUGUACAGUACUCAGAGGUGAGCCUGGUUCAGAGAGAGCGCCAUGUGAAGUUGACAGCACCUUCAUCAGCACCAAAAUCACUUUUACCACCAUCAUCACCAUCACCAACACCCUUUCUGUCAUCAUCAUCACCACCAUCUGCAUCUCCCUCACCCGGCACUCUCCACACGUGUACCACAAUUCAACGGAUUUGGGGCAAGGGAGUUUAUUCUCAAAAACCGAAGAGGCAGCUGGGCUGAAUGAAGAGCACCGCUGAAGGCAGAGCCUGAUGCACCAUGGGAGCUUGGGGCCUUUUGCUGAGAAGCCAUUGAGAAUGUUGAGACCUCACUAGGACCUUUAAGCUGCAGCCCGGCAUCUGGAAGACAGAGGCAGGAGGAUGAGAAGUUCAAGGCAUCGUCAGCUGCAGUGCAUGUUCAAAGCCAUUCAGGGCCACACGAGAUCCUAAGUAGAAGAAUUUUAUGCAGUGCUUGGAGUUCCGUGAGGGUAAAGACUGCACCCACAGGCUGCCCCUGGAUCCAACCAAUUCUAUCUCAAAUAGCUGGCAUCUGUCACGCAGUGGCAAUGUAUAGGGUUAUGCCAGACUCUGAACAACCCAUCCUGAUGGUUACCUCUAAGAAUGUCUGACUCUUGUCUGCCUGCCCCAGGGCCACACUGUGCAUCGUGGGGACUCAGCAAGACCUCUGGCUUCCACCUAACACAUGCCUUCUCCCAACCUGAGAGUCCUCUGCUGUGGAGGGGAUUCGAGGACCAGCGGACAUCGUAAAAGGCGAAAGGUUUUGUCCAAAAUGUAAAAUCCUCAUGUAAAGACAUUGGUCCUUUGCUGUCUCCUCGGGAGCCCAGAGACCAGUCAGGCUCUGCGAGUAUUUUGAGAAGAAAUGAAUGAAUAAAUGAAGCUCAAUCUUCAGGCAUAGACACUCCCAUCUCUCCCCAAAGCAUUCCACCUCCAUCCUGGGACCCCCUUUGCAGCCAGUCCCUGGGCGUCUCCCCUCCCAUAUUUUCAUCCCCCCACACCCUCUGUCUGGCUCAGAUUACUGUUUGCUGCCAGCCAGCCACCCGCAGACAGCAAACGUGGACCAGCUGUGCCGCAGGAAGCCACCCGCACCUCAACAGGAUGGCUCAGGAUGUCUUCAGUUAGCCUAAAUCGUCUCUGAAAGUUCGCGUUUUCCCUUUGUGUAAAAUGCCUAUCAUUAAUUCGGACUUGGAGAUCAAAGAGUUAACAACGCGUUGAUCCUCUCUUACUUCCAAGUGAUAUAUAAGAAUUCCAGAGACUCUCUGACAAAUGCUCCUGGGUCAGUGAGCAGAGGCCCAGUGGGGACCUUGGAAGGAAGCCGACCUGCCCAAGGCUUCCGGUUGCCGGUUGCGGGUACCUCAUUCCUAUACUUCUCCCCGAACACUGCCUUUUUUCUCUUGCUUUCUCCUCUUUCAACCAAAGGAAACAAGCGUCUCUAAUUCAUCACUUUGUGCGGCAUCAGAAGUAGGCUGGGAAAUAAAAAGGCUUCAUUGAGCAGCA